rnacentral:rRNA from 1 species
GAUGAACGCUAGCUACAGGCUUAACACAUGCAAGUCGAGGGGCAGCAUGACGAUAGCUUGCUAUUGUCGAUGGCGACCGGCGCACGGGUGAGUAACGCGUAUCCAACCUGCCCAUUACUCAGGUAUAGCCCAGUGAAAACUGGAUUAAUCCCUGAUGCGGUCUCGUGCAGACAUCUAAGCGAGACCAAAGUUUUCAACGGUAAUGGAUGGGGAUGCGUCUGAUUAGCUUGUUGGCGGGGUAACGGCCCACCAAGGCGACGAUCGGUAGCCGGCCUGAGAGGGCGGACGGCCACAUUGGGACUGAGACACGGCCCAGACUCC